CCUACGGGAGGCAGCAGUGAGGAAUUUUGCGCAAUGGGCGAAAGCCUGACGCAGCAACGCCGCGUGGGUGAUGAAGGCCUUUGGGUCGUAAAGCCCUGUCAAGUGGGAAGAACCCAUAUGGUGCAAAUAGCGCCGUAUGCUGACGGUACCACUGAAGGAAGCACCGGCUAACUCCGUGCCAGCAGCCGCGGUAAUACGGGGGGUGCAAGCGUUAUUCGGAAUCAUUGGGCGUAAAGGGCGCGCAGGCGGCUGUCUAAGUCAGAUGUGAAAGCCCGGGGCUUAACCUCGGAAGUGCAUUUGAUACUGGAUGGCUUGAGUAUGGGAGAGGGAAGCGGAAUUCCUGGUGUAGAGGUGAAAUUCGUAGAUAUCAGGAGGAACAUCUGUGGCGAAGGCGGCUUCCUGGACCAAUACUGACGCUGAGGCGCGAAGGCGUGGGGAGC
rnacentral:rRNA from 2 species